rnacentral:tRNA from 1 species
UAGAAGGUAUCUUAAAAAUAAGAAAUGAUUUUUUAAAUCAUAGAUAAUAAAUUUAUAUAAUUUAUUCCUUUUAA